rnacentral:rRNA from 1 species
GGAUUAGAUACCCUGGUAGUCCACGCCGUAAACGAUGGAUACUAGUUGCUGCGGGAGAUGACACCUGCGGUGACGUAGCUAACGCAUUAAGUAUCCCGCCUGGGGAGUACGGCCGCAAGGCUGAAACUCAAAGGAAUUGACGGGGGCCCGCACAAGCGGUGGAACAUGUGGUUUAAUUCGACGCAACGCGCAGAACCUUACCUGGACUUGACAUCCCGGGAAUUUUCUAGAGAUAGAAAAGUGCUCUUCGGAGAGCCCGGUGACAGAUGCUGCAUGGCUGUCGUCAGCUCGUGUUG